rnacentral:rRNA from 1 species
AUACAGAGGGUGCAAGCGUUAAUCGGAAUUACUUGGCGUAAAGCGCGCGUAGGCGGUUUAAUCAGUCGGAUGUGAAAGCCCCGGGCUCAACCUGGGAACUGCAUUCGAUACUGUUAAGCUAGAGUAUGGUAGAGGGAAGUGGAAUUCCAGGUGUAGCGGUGAAAUGCGUAGAUAUCUGGAGGAACAUCAGUGGCGAAGGCGACUUCCUGGACCAAUACUGACGCUGAGGUGCGAAAGCGUGGGGAGCAAACAGGAUUAGAAACCAUUGUAGUCC